rnacentral:rRNA from 1 species
AGUGAACGCUGGCGGUAGGCCUAACACAUGCAAGUCGAACGGCAGCACAGUAAGAGCUUGCUCUUACGGGUGGCGAGUGGCGGACGGGUGAGGUAUACAUCGGAAUCUACUUUUUCGUGGGGGAUAACGUGGGGCAACUUACGCUAAUACCGCAUACGACCUACGGGUGAAAGCAGGAGAUCUUCGGACCUUGCGCGAUUGCAUGAGCCGAUGUCGGAUUAGCUAGUUGGCGGGGUAACGGCCCACCAAGGCGACGCUCCCUAGCUGGUCUGAGAGGAGGAAGAGCCACAGUGGAACUGAGACACGGUCCAGACUCCUACGGGAGGCAGCAGUGGGGAAUAGUGGACGAUGGGCGCAAGCCUGAUCCAGCGAUACCGCGCGGGUGAAGAAGGGCUUCGGGUUGGAAAGCCCUUUUGUUGGGAAAGAAAAGCAGCAGGUUGAUACCCCGCUGUGCUGACGGUACCCAAAGAAUAAGCACCGGCUAACUUCGUG